rnacentral:rRNA from 1 species
GGAAUUUUCCGCAAUGGGCGAAAGCCUGACGGAGCAACGCCGCGUGAGGGAUGAAGGCCUCUGGGCUGUAAACCUCUUUUAUCAAGGAAGAAGAUCUGACGGUACUUGAUGAAUAAGCCACGGCUAAUUCCGUGCCAGCAGCCGCGGUAAUACGGGAGUGGCAAGCGUUAUCCGGAAUUAUUGGGCGUAAAGCGUCCGCAGGCGGUCUUGUAAGUCUGUCGUUAAAGCGUGGAGCUUAACUCCAUUUGAGCGAUGGAAACUGCAAGACUAGAGUGUGGUAGGGGCAGAGGGAAUUCCCGGUGUAGCGGUGAAAUGCGUAGAUAUCGGGAAGAACACCAGUGGCGAAGGCGCUCUGCUGGGCCAUAACUGACGCUCAGGGACGAAAGCCAGGGGAGCGAAAGGGAUUAGAUACCCCAGUAGUC